rnacentral:rRNA from 1 species
UACAGGAGGGUGCGAGCGUUGUUCGGAAUUACUGGGCGUAAAGCGCGCGCAGGCGGCCUUUUAAGUCUGACGGUGAAAUGCCGGGGCUCAACCCCGUGCCCGCCCGGAGAUACUGGGAGGCUGGAGACGAGUAGAGGCAAGCGGAAUUCCGGGUGUAGUGGUGGAAUGCGUAGAGAUCCGGAAGAACACCGGAGGCGAAGGCGGCUUGCUGGGCUUUGUCUGACGCUGAGACGCGAAAGCGUGGGGAGCGAACAGG